UACGGAGGGUGCAAGCGUUAAUCGGAAUUACUGGGCGUAAAGCGCACGCAGGUGGCUGAGUCAGUCGAUUGUGAAAGCCCUGGGCUUAACCUGGGAAUUGCAGUCGAUACUACUCAGCUAGAGUAUGGGAGAGGGUAGUGGAAUUCCCGGUGUAGCGGUGAAAUGCGCAGAUAUCAGGAGGAACACCGGUGGCGAAGGCGGAUCUCUGGGCCUUACCUGACGCUGAGGCGCGAAAGCUAGGGGAGCGAACAGG
rnacentral:rRNA from 1 species